rnacentral:rRNA from 1 species
AAUAGAUACCCCGGUAGUCCUAGCCCUAAACGAUGAAUGCUUGGUGUGGCGGGUAUCGAUCCCUGCCGUGCCGAAGGUAACCCAUUAAGCACUCCGCCUGGGGAGUACGGCCGCAAGGCUGAAACUCAAAGGAAUUGACGGGGGCCCGCACAAGCGGUGGAGCAUGUGGUUUAAUUCGAAGCAACGCGAAGAACUUUACCAGGGCUUGACAUCCCGCUGACCGCUCCAGAGAUGGAGCUUCCCUUCGGGGCAGCGGUGACAGGUGGUGCAUGGUUGUCGUCAGCUCGUGUCGUGAGAUGUUGGGUUCAGUCCCGCAACGAGCGCAACCCUUAUCGCUAGUUGCCAGCAUUCAGUUGGGCACUCUAGCGAGACAGCCGGUGAAAGCCGGAGGAAGGUGGGGAUGACGUCAAAUCAUCAUGCCCCUUAUGUCCUGGGCUACACACGUGCUACAAUGGCCGGUACAAUGGGUCGCCAACCCGGCGAGGGGGAGCUAAUCCCACAAAACCGGUCUCAGUUCGGAUCGCAGG